GCCAGGUGAGGUGGUGCAUGCCUGUAAUCCCAGUGGCUCAGGAGGCUGAGGCAGGAGGAUUGCGAGUUCAAAGCCAGCCUCAGCAACAGUGAGGCACUAAGCAACUCAGUAAGACCCUGUCUCUA
rnacentral:sRNA from 1 species